GAAGGAGAGAUUGGACGUUCUGGCGGUGCUGGUGUUGGGAAAACAGUGCUCAUUAAGGAACUAUUCAACAAUGACGCCAAAGCUCAUGGACUUGUGAGAAGAAGAAUAUAAUUGAAAAGAGGAACACGUAAGAAACGAGAAGAGAAGCUUAAUUCAUUGUUGAUCUUUUUCAUUUACUUUUGAAAUGUCUUCAGCUUUCUUUUCCUUGAGAUCUUUCUUCUCAAUUAUUUACUCAUUUUCUUAUGAAACUUUGUUUGUUUUUGUUGUAUAUUUCAAGUAUGCUUACUUUCUAACAGUGAUUUGUGCUUACUAGCUU